GAAAUGCGAUAAGUAAUGUGAAUUGCAGAAUUCAGUGAAUCAUCGAAUCUUUGAACGCACCUUGCGCUCCUUGGUAUUCCUUGGAGCAUGCCUGUUUGAGUAUCAUGAAAUCUUCAAAGUAAAUCUUUUGUUAACUCAAUUGGUUUCUACUUUGGUAUUGGAGGUCUUUGCAGCUUCACACCUGCUCCUCUUUGUUCAUUAGCUGGAUCUCAGUGUUAUGCUUGGUUCCACUCGGCGUGAUAAGUUAUCUAUCGCUGAGGACACUGUAAAAGGUGGCCAAGGUAAAUGCAGAUGAACCGCUUCUAAUAGUCCAUUGACUUGGACAAUACUUUUAUGAUCUGAUCUCAAAUCAGGUCUGACUACCCGCUGAACUUAAGC
rnacentral:misc_RNA from 1 species